rnacentral:rRNA from 1 species
GAUGAACGCUGGCGGCGUGCCUAAUACAUGCAAGUCGAGCGAACGGACGAGAAGCUUGCUUCUCUGAUGUUAGCGGCGGACGGGUGAGUAACACGUGGAUAACCUACCUAUAAGACUGGGAUAACUUCGGGAAACCGGAGCUAAUACCGGAUAAUAUUUUGAACCGCAUGGUUCAAAAGUGAAAGACGGUCUUGCUGUCACUUAUAGAUGGAUCCGCGCUGCAUUAGCUAGUUGGUAAGGUAACGGCUUACCAAGGCAACGAUGCAUAGCCGACCUGAGAGGGGGGUACGCCCCCCUGGAACUUGAGCACGGUCCCGGCUCCUACGGGAGGCAGCAGUAGGGAAUCUUCCGCAAUGGGCGGAAGCCUGGCGGAACAACCGCGCGUGAGUGGAGGAGGGCUUCCGAUCGUUAAACCCUUUUUUUAGGGAAGAACAUAUGUGUAAGUAACUGUGCACAUCUUGACGGUACCUAAUCAGAAAGCCACGGCUAACUACGUG